CCUACGGGGUGCUGCAGUGGGGAAUAUUGGACAAUGGGCGAAAGCCUGAUCCAGCCAUGCCGCGUGUGUGAAGAAGGCCUUCGGGUUGUAAAGCACUUUCAGUGGGGAAGAAAGCCUUGGGGCUAAUACCCUCGAGGAAGGACAUCACCCACAGAAGAAGCACCGGCUAACUCCGUGCCAGCAGCCGCGGUAAUACGGAGGGUGCGAGCGUUAAUCGGAAUUACUGGGCGUAAAGCGCGCGUAGGCGGUCUGAUAAGCCGGUUGUGAAAGCCCCGGGCUCAACCUGGGAACGGCAUCCGGAACUGUCAGGCUAGAGUGCAGGAGAGGAAGGUAGAAUUCCCGGUGUAGCGGUGAAAUGCGUAGAGAUCGGGAGGAAUACCAGUGGCGAAGGCGGUCUUCUGGACUGACACUGACGCUGAGGUGCGAAAGCGUGGGUAGCAAACAGGAUUAGAUACCCGAGUAGUC
rnacentral:rRNA from 1 species